rnacentral:rRNA from 1 species
CAGCCGCCACGGUAAUACGGAGGGUGCGAGCGUUAAUCGGAUUUACUGGGCGUAAAGCGUGCGUAGGCGGCUUCUUAAGUCGGAUGUGAAAUCCCUGAGCUUAACUUAGGAAUUGCAUUCGAUACUGGGAAGCUAGAGUAUGGGAGAGGAUGGUAGAAUUCCAGGUGUAGCGGUGAAAUGCGUAGAGAUCUGGAGGAAUACCGAUGGCGAAGGCAGCCAUCUGGCCUAAUACUGACGCUGAGGUACGAAAGCAUGGGGAGCAAACAGGAUUAGAUACCCGUGUAGUCCCUGUCUCUUAUAC